rnacentral:rRNA from 1 species
AGAGUUUGAUCAUGGCUCAGGAUGAACGCUGGCGGCGUGCCUGAUACAUGCAAGUCGAACGGACCAGCACGUUGCGAGUGGCCAAUAGCUUCUAGCUUGCGGCCACGAGCUGUGUUGGUUAGUGGCGAACGGGUGAGUAACACGUAGGUGACCUACCCCGAAGUGGGGGAUAACUACUGGAAACGGUAGCUAAUACCGCAUGUGGUUCGUCAUUCGGUUGGCGAACGAAAGCUCCGGCGCUUUGGGAUGGGCCUGCGGCCGAUUAGCUAGUUGGUAGGGUAAUGGCCUACCAAGGCGAUGAUCGGUAGCUGGUCUGAGAGGACGGUCAGCCACACUGGCACUGAGAUACGGGCCAGACUCCUACGGGAGGCAGCAGUAAGGAGUAUUGCGCAAUGGGGGAAACCCUGACGCAGCAACGCCGCGUGGGCGAUGAAGGUCUUCGGAUCGUAAAGCCCUUUUCUGGGGGAUGAGGAAGGACAGUACCCCAGGAAUAAGUCUCGGCUAACUACGUGCCAGCAGCCGCGGUAAAACGUAGGAGGCAAGCGUUAUCCGGAUUUACUGGGCAUAAAGGGCGUCUAGGCGGUGUCUUAAGUCGGGCGUGAAAUCUCCCGGCUCAACCGGGAGGGGCCGUUCAAUACUGGGACACUUGAGGGCAGGAGAGGAAAGUGGAAUUCCCGGUGUAGUGGUGGAAUACUUAGAUAUCGGGAGGAACACCAGUGGCGAAGGCGGCUUUCUGGCCUGCACCUGACGCUGAAGCGCGAAAGCGUGGGUAGCGAAC